rnacentral:ncRNA from 1 species
UGUCUUCGGGGCGGGGUGAGAUUCCCCACCGGCGGUAAAAAGCGUUUCGCUUCAAGCCCGCGAGCCUUAAAAAGCUGAUCCGGUGUGAUUCCGGAGCCGACGGUACAGUCCGGAUGAAAGAAGAUA